AUACGGAGGAUCCAAGCGUUAUCCGGAAUCAUUGGGUUUAAAGGGUCCGUAGGUGGAUAAUUAAGUCAGAGGUGAAAUCCUGCAGCUCAACUGUAGAAUUGCCUUUGAUACUGGUUAUCUUGAGUUAUUAUGAAGUAGUUAGAAUAUGUAGUGUAGCGGUGAAAUGCAUAGAUAUUACAUAGAAUACCGAUUGCGAAGGCAGAUUACUAAUAAUAUACUGACACUGAGGGACGGAAGCGUGGGGAGCGAACAGGAUUAGAAACCCUAGUAGUCC
rnacentral:rRNA from 1 species